rnacentral:rRNA from 1 species
AUUGAACGCUAGCGGGAUGCUUUACACAUGCAAGUCGAACGAGUGGCGGACGGGUGAGUAAUAUAUCGGAACGUGCCCAGUAGCGGGGGAUAACUAAUCGAAAGAGUGGCUACUACCGCAUACUAUUGGAGCGGCCGAUAUCGGAUUAGCUAGUUGGUGGGGUAAAGGCUCACCAGGGCAACGAUCCGUAGCUGGUUUGAGAGGACGAACAUCCACACUGGGACUGAGACACGGUCCAGACUCCUACGGAAGGCAGCAGUGGGGAAUGUUGGACCAUGUGGGAAACCCUGAUCCAGCCAGCCCGGUUGUAUGAGAAGGCCUUCGGUUUGUAAAGUACUUUUGGCAGAGAAGCGGUAUCUGCAGAAUAAGCACCGGCUAACUACGUGCCAGCAGCCGCGGUAAUUC